rnacentral:tRNA from 1 species
GGCCCCGAGGUGAGUAUCACACUAAAAUGCAAGUUUAGAGACGCACCCCAGAAGGUGCCUGGGCUU